GGAAUAUUGCACAAUGGGGGAAACCCUGAUGCAGCGACGCCGCGUGAAGGAUGAAGUAUUUCGGUAUGUAAACUUCUAUCAGCAGGGAAGAUGAUGACGGUACCUGACUAAGAAGCCCCGGCUAACUACGUGCCAGCAGCCGCGGUAAUACGUAGGGGGCAAGCGUUAUCCGGAUUUACUGGGUGUAAAGGGAGCGCAGGCGGCGGGACAAGUCAGAAGUGAAAUCCCCGGGCUCACCCCGGGGGCUGCUUUUGAAACUGUUCUGCUAGAUUCCAGGAGAGGUAAGCGGAAUUCCUAGUGUAGCGGUGAAAUGCGUAGAUAUUAGGAGGAACACCAGUGGCGAAGGCGGCUUACUGGACUGGCAAUGACGCUCAGGCUCGAAAGCGUGGGGAGCAAACA
rnacentral:rRNA from 1 species